AGCGAACGCUGGCGGCAGGCUUAACACAUGCAAGUCGAGCGGGCACUUCGGUGUCAGCGGCAGACGGGUGAGUAACACGUGGGAACGUACCCUUUGGUUCGGAAUAACGCUGGGAAACUAGCGCUAAUACCGGAUACGCCCUUUUGGGGAAAGGCUUGCUGCCGAAGGAUCGGCCCGCGUCUGAUUAGCUAGUUGGUGGGGUAAUGGCCUUCCAAGGCGACGAUCAGUAGCUGGUCUGAGAGGAUGAUCAGCCACACUGGGACUGAGACACGGCCCAGACUCCUACGGGAGGCAGCAGUGGGGAAUAUUGGACAAUGGGCGCAAGCCUGAUCCAGCCAUGCCGCGUGAGUGAUGAAGGCCUUAGGGUUGUAAAGCUCUUUUGUCCGGGACGAUAAUGACGGUACCGGAAGAAUAAGCCCCGGCUAACUUCGUG
rnacentral:rRNA from 1 species